AGCGAACGCUGGCGGCAGGCUUAACACAUGCAAGUCGAGCGGGCACCUUCGGGUGUCCGCGGCAGACGGGUGAGUAACACGUGGGAACGUACCCUUCGGUUCGGAAUAACGCUGGGAAACUAGCGCUAAUACCGGAUACGCCCUUAUGGGGAAAGGUUUACUGCCGAAGGAUCGGCCCGCGUCUGAUUAGCUAGUUGGUGGGGUAACGGCCUACCAAGGCGACGAUCAGUAGCUGGUCUGAGAGGAUGAUCAGCCACACUGGGACUGAGACACGGCCCAGACUCCUACGGGAGGCAGCAGUGGGGAAUAUUGGACAAUGGGCGCAAGCCUGAUCCAGCCAGGCCGCGUGAGUGAUGAAGGCCUUAGGGUUGUAAAGCUCUUUUGUCCGGGACGAUAAUGACGGUACCGGAAGAAUAAGCCCCGGCUAACUUCGUG
rnacentral:rRNA from 1 species